rnacentral:rRNA from 1 species
UACGGAGGGAGCUAGCGUUGUUCGGAUGUACUGGGCGUAAAGCGCACGUAGGCGGUUUCUUAAGUCGGGGGUGAAAUCCUGGAGCUCAACUCCAGAACUGCCUUCGAUACUGGGAAACUUGAGUCCGGGAGAGGUGAGUGGAACUGCGAGUGUAGAGGUGAAAUUCGUAGAUAUUCGCAAGAACACCAGUGGCGAAGGCGGCUCACUGGCCCGGUACUGACGCUGAGGUGCGAAAGCGUGGGGAGCAAACAGG